rnacentral:rRNA from 1 species
AGAGUUUGAUCAUGGCUCAGAUUGAACGCUGGCGGCAGGCCUAACACAUGCAAGUCGAGCGGAAACGAUGGUAGCUUGCUACCAGGCGUCGAGCGGCGGACGGGUGAGUAACGCGUGAGAAUCUGCCCAUUUGUGGGGGAUAACUCGGGGAAACUCGAGCUAAUACCGCAUAAUCCCUACGGGGGAAAGCAGGGGACCUUCGGGCCUUGUGCAGAUGGAUGAGCUCGCGUCGGAUUAGCUUGUUGGUGAGGUAAAGGCUCACCAAGGCGACGAUCCGUAGCUGGUCUGAGAGGAUGAUCAGCCACACCGGGACUGAGACACGGCCCGGACUCCUACGGGAGGCAGCAGUGGGGAAUCUUGGACAAUGGGGGCAACCCUGAUCCAGCCAUGCCGCGUGUGUGAAGAAGGCCUUCGGGUUGUAAAGCACUUUCAGUAGGGAGGAAGGCUUACCGCUAAUAACGGUGAGUACUUGACGUUACCUACAGAAGAAGCACCGGCUAAUUUCGUGCCAGCAGCCGCGGUAAUACGAAAGGUGCGAGCGUUAAUCGGAAUUACUGGGCGUAAAGCGCGCGUAGGCGGUUUGUUAAGUCAGAUGUGAAAGCCCCGGGCUCAACCUGGGAAUUGCAUUUGAAACUGGCAGGCUAGAGUGCAGUAGAGGGAGGUGGAAUUUCCGGUGUAGCGGUGAAAUGCGUAGAGAUCGGAAGGAACACCAGUGGCGAAGGCGGCCUCCUGGACUGACACUGACGCUGAGGUGCGAAA